AAAUAAGAGCAUACGGUGAAUGCCUUGGCGCAAAAGACCGAAGAAGGACGUAGUAGGCUGCGAUAAGCCUCGGGUAGCUGUCAAACAAGCGUUAAUCCGAGGAUUUCCGAAUGGGGUAACCCAGCUAGGUUUAAACCUAGUUACCAUACAUAAAAUUCAUAUAUGUAUAGGAGGGCAUGCAGGAAAGUGAAACCUCUCAGUACCUGCGAGAAAAGAAACCAAUAGGUAAUUUCCUAAGUAGUGGCGAGCGAAAAGGAAAUAGCCCAAACUUAUAUCGUGUAAGAAGGAUCCAAAUCUUGAGUCGCGUUGCGACAAUGGAAGAGGUGAAUUCGUAGGAUGUCGCUCGUGCGAUAUGAGUGUAGUAAGAAUCAGUUGAUUAGACGACAUGCUAAUCGAAAAGUUACAAAAAUUGACCUUAGUAGAACAUAUCUGGAAAGGUAGACCAUAGAAAGUGAAAGUCUUGUAUAUGAAAAGGUCAGUUCUUUUUUCUGAUUUCUUGAGUACCACGGGGCAAGUGAAAUCUUGUGGGAAUCAGCCAAGACCACUUGGCAAGGCUCGGCGUGCCUAUUGAAGAAUGACCCGGUGAGUUAGUUGUGCGCGGCAAGGUUAACCAUGUUUAUUGGGGAGCCGAAGCGAAAGCGAGUCUGAAUAGGGCGAAUUUAGUCGCGUGCACUAGACCCGAAACUAGGUGAUCUAACCAUGAGCAGGGCGAAGGAAUGAGAAAUCAUUUUGAAGGCCCGAACUCUUUAAUGUUACAAAAUUAUGAGAUGACUUGUGGUUAGCGGUAACAUGCCAAACGAACCUAGUAAUAGCUGGUUCUCCCCGAAAUAGCUUUUGGGCUAGCGU
rnacentral:rRNA from 1 species